AGAGUUUGAUCCUGGCUCAGGACGAACGCUGGCGGCAUGCCUAACACAUGCAAGUCGAACGAGAAAGUUCCUUCGGGAGCAAUUAAAGUGGCGCACGGGUGAGUAACGCGUAGACAAUCUGCCCUUCAGUCUGGGACAACUUUUCGAAAGGAGAGCUAAUACCGGAUAACAAUGCAUGACACAAGUUGUAUAUUUGAAAGCUUUAUGUGCUGAAGGAGGGGUCUGCGUCCCAUUAGCUAGUUGGUAAGGUAAAGGCUUACCAAGGCAACGAUGGGUAGCGGGUUUGAGAGGACGAUCCGCCACACUGGAACUGAGACACGGUCCAGACUCCUACGGGAGGCAGCAGUGGGGAAUAUUGCACAAUGGAGGAAACUCUGAUGCAGCAACGCCGCGUGGAGGAUGACGCAUUUCGGUGUGUAAACUCCUUUUAUAUGUGAAGAAAAUGACGGUAGCAUAUGAAUAAGCACCGGCUAACUCCGUGCCAGCAGCCGCGGUAAUACGGAGGGUGCAAGCGUUAAUCGGAAUUACUGGGCGUAAAGCGUGCGUAGGUGGUUUGUUAAGUUAGAUGUGAAAGCCCUGGGCUCAACCUAGGAACUGCAUUUAAAACUGGCAAACUAGAGUAUAGGAGAGGAAAGUGGAAUUUCAGGUGUAGCGGUGAAAUGCGUAGAUAUCUGAAGGAACAUCAAUGGCGAAGGCAGCUUUCUGGACUAAUACUGACACUGAGGUACGAAAGCGUGGGUAGCAAACAGGAUUAGAUACCCUGGUAGUCCACGCCGUAAACGAUGACAACUAGCCGUUGGGAGGAUUUACCUCUUAGUGGCGAAGCUAACGCGUUAAGUUGUCCGCCUGGGGAGUACGGCCGCAAGGUUAAAACUCAAAGGAAUUGACGGGGACCCGCACAAGCGGUGGAGCAUGUGGUUUAAUUCGAUGCAACGCGAAGAACCUUACCUGGUCUUGACAUACACGGAACUUUCCAGAGAUGGAUUGGUGCCUUCGGGAACCGUGAUACAGGUGCUGCAUGGCUGUCGUCAGCUCGUGUCGUGAGAUGUUGGGUUAAGUCCC
rnacentral:rRNA from 1 species